AGAGUUUGAUCCUGGCUCAGGACGAACGCUGGCGGCGUGCCUAAUACAUGCAAGUCGAACGAACUCUGGUAUUGAUUGGUGCUUGCAUCAUGAUUUACAUUUGAGUGAGUGGCGAACUGGUGAGUAACACGUGGGAAACCUGCCCAGAAGCGGGGGAUAACACCUGGAAACAGAUGCUAAUACCGCAUAACAACUUGGACCGCAUGGUCCGAGCUUGAAAGAUGGCUUCGGCUAUCACUUUUGGAUGGUCCCGCGGCGUAUUAGCUAGAUGGUGGGGUAACGGCUCACCAUGGCAAUGAUACGUAGCCGACCUGAGAGGGUAAUCGGCCACAUUGGGACUGAGACACGGCCCAAACUCCUACGGGAGGCAGCAGUAGGGAAUCUUCCACAAUGGACGAAAGUCUGAUGGAGCAACGCCGCGUGAGUGAAGAAGGGUUUCGGCUCGUAAAACUCUGUUGUUAAAGAAGAACAUAUCUGAGAGUAACUGUUCAGGUAUUGACGGUAUUUAACCAGAAAGCCACGGCUAACUACGUGCCAGCAGCCGCGGUAAUACGUAGGUGGCAAGCGUUGUCCGGAUUUAUUGGGCGUAAAGCGAGCGCAGGCGGUUUUUUAAGUCUGAUGUGAAAGCCUUCGGCUCAACCGAAGAAGUGCAUCGGAAACUGGGAAACUUGAGUGCAGAAGAGGACAGUGGAACUCCAUGUGUAGCGGUGAAAUGCGUAGAUAUAUGGAAGAACACCAGUGGCGAAGGCGGCUGUCUGGUCUGUAACUGACGCUGAGGCUCGAAAGUAUGGGUAGCAAACAGGAUUAGAUACCCUGGUAGUCCAUACCGUAAACGAUGAAUGCUAAGUGUUGGAGGGUUUCCGCCCUUCAGUGCUGCAGCUAACGCAUUAAGCAUUCCGCCUGGGGAGUACGGCCGCAAGGCUGAAACUCAAAGGAAUUGACGGGGGCCCGCACAAGCGGUGGAGCAUGUGGUUUAAUUCGAAGCUACGCGAAGAACCUUACCAGGUCUUGACAUACUAUGCAAAUCUAAGAGAUUAGACGUUCCCUUCGGGGACAUGGAUACAGGUGGUGCAUGGUUGUCGUCAGCUCGUGUCGUGAGAUGUUGGGUUAAGUCCCGCAACGAGCGCAACCCUUAUUAUCAGUUGCCAGCAUUAAGUUGGGCACUCUGGUGAGACUGCCGGUGACAAACCGGAGGAAGGUGGGGAUGACGUCAAAUCAUCAUGCCCCUUAUGACCUGGGCUACACACGUGCUACAAUGGAUGGUACAACGAGUUGCGAACUCGCGAGAGUAAGCUAAUCUCUUAAAGCCAUUCUCAGUUCGGAUUGUAGGCUGCAACUCGCCUACAUGAAGUCGGAAUCGCUAGUAAUCGCGGAUCAGCAUGCCGCGGUGAAUACGUUCCCGGGCCUUGUACACACCGCCCGUCACACCAUGAGAGUUUGUAACACCCAAAGUCGGUGGGGUAACCUUUUAGGAACCAGCCGCCUAAGGUGGGACAGAUGAUUAGGGUGAAGUCGUAACAAGGUAACC
rnacentral:rRNA from 9 species